CCUACGGGGGGCUGCAGUAGGGAAUCUUGCGCAAUGGGCGAAAGCCUGACGCAGCAAUGCCGCGUGCGGGACGAAGGCCCUAGGGUCGUAAACCGCUUUCAGUAGGGACGAAAAUGACGGUACCUGCAGAAGAAGCUCCGGCCAACUACGUGCCAGCAGCCGCGGUGAUACGUAGGGAGCAAGCGUUGUCCGGAAUUACUGGGCGUAAAGGGCUCGUAGGUGGUUGAGUAAGUCAGAUGUGAAAUCUCAGGGCCCAACCCUGAGCGUGCAUUUGAUACUGCUCUGACUAGAGUCCGGUAGGGGAGUGCGGAAUUCCUGGUGUAGCGGUGAAAUGCGCAGAUAUCAGGAGGAACACCGACAGCGAAGGCAGCACUCUGGGCCGGUACUGACACUGAGGAGCGAAAGCGUGGGUAGCAAACAGGAUUAGAUACCCGUGUAGUC
rnacentral:rRNA from 1 species